AAAGCUUUAAGUUAUCUAAACUAUUAACCUUCAAAGUUAAAAAUAAGCACCCUUAAGCUUUA
rnacentral:tRNA from 2 species